CAGAAGUUACAAAAUCACUUCCCGUUUCCUGCCCCUGGCAGGGCAGGACACUUCCGGGGGGUGGUCCGAGCAGGGAGAGCAGAGAAGCCCGGAGCGGAGGAUCGGGGUCCCUCCACGGGGCAGGAGCGCACGCAGGCUCUGAAACCAUCCAUAGGGCAGUUGGACGCGCUGUCUACACAUGGCUCUCCCGAGCGGCAUCUUCCAAGAGCCCUUUGCCGCUCCGGGCCCCUCCCCCGCCGCCUCCCACCCCUGCGAACGGGCCUGUUUCUGCGAGCACUGAAGACGGGGAAACACGCGAUCUUGAAUGUGUCUCUUUCACGGUCACACAUUUCUUUCGUUGUGCAUCUUGGCUGAUCCAUGAUUUAAGAUCCCCGGCAACUGUUUCCAGGCAAUAUCCUCAGUGAAAUCACAGAUUUGAUGGGUUGACUUUCCUCCUAAUACACAUGACACCAAAUACACAGUUAUGUAAAAGGCCCCAUCCGCACGCCGCCGCAGUGGUCUUGGGGCCCACCCCGUCUCCCUCGCUUUUGGAACUGACCUGGGAGGAGGACCACCGGGCAGUCCCUGGUGUCAGGUACCCGGGCCCAGCCCCGCCUCACCUCUCCCCGGCAGGGCGACCUCAGGCAAGUUAUGUAAGCCCUCUGGGCUCCACCUCCAUAAACUGGAGACAACAGUCUAUCUCAAGAGUGGGCGUGACAGAAAGGAUCCACAGGGAGCCCUUAGCGGAGAGCUGGCACUCGGUUUAGGCCGAGGAGCGCCCGGCACGGCAGGAUGGGCCCCGGGACCGUUCACG